GCUUAACACAUGCAAGUCGAGGGGCAUCGGGCAUAAAGCUUGCUUUCUUUGCCGGCGACCGGCGCACGGGUGAGUAACACGUAUCCAACCUGCCCUUUACUCGGGGAUAGCCUUUCGAAAGAAAGAUUAAUACCCGAUGGCAUAAUGAUUCCGCAUGGUUUCAUUAUUAAAGGAUUCCGGUAAAGGAUGGGGAUGCGUUCCAUUAGGUUGUUGGUGAGGUAACGGCCCACCAAGCCUUCGAUGGAUAGGGGUUCUGAGAGGAAGGUCCCCCACAUUGGAACUGAGACACGGUCCAAACUCCUACGGGAGGCAGCAGUGAGGAAUAUUGGUCAAUGGGCGCUAGCCUGAACCAGCCAAGUAGCGUGAAGGAUGAAGGCUCUAUGGGUCGUAAACUUCUUUUAUAUAAGAAUAAAGUGCAGUAUGUAUACUGUUUUGUAUGUAUUAUAUGAAUAAGGAUCAGCUAACUCCGUGCCAGCAGCCGCGGUAAUACGGAGGAUCCGAGCGUUAUCCGGAUUUAUUGGGUUUAAAGGGAGCGUAGGUGGACUGGUAAGUCAGUUGUGAAAGUUUGCGGCUCAACCGUAAAAUUGCAGUUGAUACUGUCAGUCUUGAGUACAGUAGAGGUGGGCGGAAUUCGUGGUGUAGCGGUGAAAUGCUUAGAUAUCACGAAGAACUCCGAUUGCGAAGGCAGCUCACUGGACUGCAACUGACACUGAUGCUCGAAAGUGUGGGUAUCAAACAGGAUUAGAUACCCUGGUAGUCCACACAGUAAACGAUGAAUACUCGCUGUUUGCGAUAUACAGUAAGCGGCCAAGCGAAAGCAUUAAGUAUUCCACCUGGGGAGUACGCCGGCAACGGUGAAACUCAAAGGAAUUGACGGGGGCCCGCACAAGCGGAGGAACAUGUGGUUUAAUUCGAUGAUACGCGAGGAACCUUACCCGGGCUUAAAUUGCAGUGGAAUGAUGUGGAAACAUGUCAGUGAGCAAUCACCGCUGUGAAGGUGCUGCAUGGUUGUCGUCAGCUCGUGCCGUGAGGUGUCGGCUUAAGUGCCAUAACGAGCGCAACCCUUAUCUUCAGUUACUAACAGGUCAUGCUGAGGACUCUGGAGAGACUGCCGUCGUAAGAUGUGAGGAAGGUGGGGAUGACGUCAAAUCAGCACGGCCCUUACGUCCGGGGCUACACACGUGUUACAAUGGGGGGUACAGAAGGCAGCUAGCGGGUGACCGUAUGCUAAUCCCAAAAUCCUCUCUCAGUUCGGAUCGAAGUCUGCAACCCGACUUCGUGAAGCUGGAUUCGCUAGUAAUCGCGCAUCAGCCACGGCGCGGUGAAUACGUUCCCGGGCCUUGUACACACCGCCCGUCAAGCCAUGGGAGCCGGGGGUACCUGAAGUACGUAACCGCAAGGAUCGUCCUAGGGUAAAACUGGUGACUGGGGCUAAGU
rnacentral:rRNA from 1 species